rnacentral:lncRNA from 1 species
UUGUGGGUUUCUUGUUGUGAACAUGCCAUCCCAAUAAUGUUGUUUUGUGAUAUGUUGAAAUAUGACUAAGUCUGAAAACAGUUUCAAGUGGAUGUGUUUCCAUGAUGAUUGUCAUGCAUCUACAAGUUCUUUGUGCUCGUACUUCGGUGUAAAUUAAAGAGCAUGUUGCCCUCUGUAAAAUGAUGUCACUACUUUGUAAAAUAGGUUUUGCGUCUUAGCUAUUUGUCCUCUCAAACAUGCCAUGUUGAUGUAAAUUGUUGUGAAUGCACCUUGUGAAAUUUGAAUAAGUAUGAGGAUCUACUUGUCACGCCCAAGAUGCGACCCUAUCCUCAAUUUGGCACGAGGGCCUCGUCGGGGAUAGAAGCGCAUCUCGUCGUUUCGCAAGAAUGGAUAUCGUUACAAGUACAUGUACUGAAAAGAAGAGAUAUAUAUAUAUAGAUUUGGCUUACACUCGCCACAAGCUACAUCAGAGUCACAACAGUACAAUACAUAAUCAUCAUGAAGAAGAGCAGGGUCCGACUACGGACGAAAACAAACGAGAAAAGAAGAACGACGUCCAUCCUUGCUAUCCCAGGCUGCCGGCCUGGAACCCACCCUAGAUCCCCCCCCCCCCCCCCCCAAAUGAACAAUCAACGCGCUCGUGUCAAAUAACCUUUACCUGUACCUACAACUGGUGUUGUAGUAAUCUGGGAGCCAUAGGGGACUCAGCAAUCUCAUUUCCAAAGGUAUCAAGACUAGAAAAGCUUAAUGGGUGAGGCAUGGUUAAGUGGUGAGGUUGCAGCAGCGACUAAGCAUAUAUGAGGUGGCUAACUUACGAGUACCAGAAUAAAGAGGGGGAAGAUCUACGCUUAACGGACGUGAACUACUGAUGAUCAAACGAA